rnacentral:rRNA from 1 species
ACGGCUCAGUAACACGUAGCUAACCUACCCUUAGGACGUGGAUACCCCCGAGAAAUUGGGGUUAAUCCGCGAUAGGUGUAAUGUCCUGGAAUGGUAUUACGCCUAAAGGUGUAUCAUACAUGUUUGAUAUACGCCUAAGGAUGGGGCUGCGGCCGAUCAGGCUGUUGGUGAGGUAAUGGCUCACCAAACCUUUGACCGGUACGGGCCAUGAGAGUGGUAGCCCGGAGAUGGACACUGAGACAAGGGUCCAGGCCCUAAGGGGCGCAGCAACCGCGAAACCUCCACAAUGCACUCACGUGCGAUGGGGCUAUCUCGAGUGCCACCUGAUGAAGGUGGCUUUUCCUUGGUCUUCAAAGCCUUGGGAAUAAGAGGGGGGCAAGACUGGUGUCAGCCGCCGCGGUAACACCAGCCCCUCGAGUGGUGGGGAUGAUUAUUUGGCCUAAAGCGUCCGUAGCCGGCCGAGCAAGUCUUCCGUUAAAUCCAGCGUCUCAAGCGUUGGACCGCGGGAGAUACUACACGGCUAGAGAGUGGGAGAGGUCAGCGGUAUUCUGGGGGUAGGGGCGAAAUCCUUUGAUCCCCGGAGGACCACCAGUGGCGAAGGCUGCUGACUAGAACACGUCUGACGGUCAGGGACGAAAGCUGGGGUAGCGAACCGGAUUAGAUACCCGGGUAGUCCCAGCCGUAAACGAUGCAUGCUAGGUGUUGGGUUGGCCACGAGCCACCCCAGUGCCGCAGGGAAGCCGUUAAGCAUGCCGCCUGGGAAGUACGAUCGCAAGAUUGAAACUUAAAGGAAUUGGCGGGGGAGCAC